AAAUGAAUUGACGGGGGCCCGCACAAGCGGAGGAACAUGUGGUUUAAUUCGAUGAUACGCGAGGAACCUUACCCGGGCUCGAACGGCUUUUGAAUAAGUAUGAAAGUAUUUAGUCGCAAGACAAAAGUCGAGGUGCUGCAUGGUUGUCGUCAGCUCGUGCCGUGAGGUGUCGGCUUAAGUGCCAUAACGAGCGCAACCCUUACCGAUAGUUACCAGCAUGUAAAGAUGGGGACUCUAUUGGGACUGCCACCGUAAGGUGUGAGGAAGGUGGGGAUGACGUCAAAUCAGCACGGCCCUUACGUCCGGGGCGACACACGUGUUACAAUGGGUGGGACAGCAGGCAGCAACCUGGCGACAGGGUGCAAAUCCUGAAACCCACUCCCAGUUCGGAUUGGAGUCUGCAACCCGACUCCAUGAAGCUGGAUUCGCUAGUAAUCGCGCAUCAGCCAUGGCGCGGUGAAUACGUUCCCGGGCCUUGUACACACCGCCCGU
rnacentral:rRNA from 1 species